UACAGAGGGGGCUAGCGUUAUUCGGAAUUAUUGGGCGUAAAGGGAGUGUAGGCGGUUCGUUAAGUCUUCUGUGAAAUCUACGGGCUUAGCCUGUAACGUGCAGAGGAAACUAGCGGGCUUGAGUGUCGGAGAGGAUAGGGGAAUACCCAGUGUAGAGGUGAAAUUCGUAGAGAUUGGGUGGAACACCAGUGGCGAAGGCGCCUAUCUGGCUGACAACUGACGCUGAGACUCGAAAGCAUGGGGAGCAAACAGG
rnacentral:rRNA from 1 species